GCCGGCGUAGCUCAGUGGUAGUAGCAGGGUCUUCAUAAGGCCAAGGUCACAGGUUCAAAUCCUGUCGCCGGCA
rnacentral:tRNA from 1 species